AGAGUUUGAUCCCGGCUCAGGAGGAACGCUAGCGGCAGGCCUGAUACAUGCAAGUCGAGGGGCAGCGCAGUGUAGCAAUACAUGGGCGGCGACCGGCAAACGGGUGCGGAACACGUACGCAACCUUCCUUCAAGCGGGGAAUAGCCCAGAGAAAUUUGGAUUAAUACCCCAUAAGAACGUAGAGAGGCAUCUCUCAGCAUUUAAAGAACUAUCACUGGAAGAUGGGCGUGCGUCUGAUUAGGUAGAUGGCGAGGUAACGGCUCACCAAGCCGACGAUCAGUAACUGGCGUGAGAGCGCGACCAGUCACACGGGCACUGAGACACGGGCCCGACUCCUACGGGAGGCAGCAGUAAGGAAUAUUGGUUCAAUGGACGGAAGUUCUGAACCAGCCAUGUCCGUUCGUUGUGUAGGUAUGAAGGUCCUCUGGAUUGUCAACACUUCUUUUAUC
rnacentral:rRNA from 1 species